rnacentral:rRNA from 1 species
GGGGAAUAUUGCACAAUGGGGGAAACCCUGAUGCAGCAACGCCGCGUGAGUGAUGACGGCCUUCGGGUUGUAAAGCUCUGUCUUCAGGGACGAUAAUGACGGUACCUGAGGAGGAAGCCACGGCUAACUACGUGCCAGCAGCCGCGGUAAUACGUAGGUGGCGAGCGUUGUCCGGAUUUACUGGGCGUAAAGGGAGCGUAGGCGGAUUUUUAAGUGAGAUGUGAAAUACUCGGGCUUAACCUGAGUGCUGCAUUUCAAACUGGAAGUCUAGAGUGCAGGAGAGGAGAAGGGAAUUCCUAGUGUAGCGGUGAAAUGCGUAGAGAUUAGGAAGAACACCAGUGGCGAAGGCGCUUCUCUGGACUGUAACUGACGCUGAGGCUCGAAAGCGUGGGGAGCAAAC